UCAUGAAUUUCACUUCCCUUUCAACCCCGGCGCCCUGGCCUUGGGGACUUGUGGUGUCAUGCCUCAGGGUCUAUGUGGCCCCAGGGACCAGAGGAUUACUGAUAUAGUAUGGCUUCCCUCCCACCAUCCAGGACCGUUAGCUAUGAGCAAAGGGGCCACCCCUCGUGUCCGCCCUUCUCCUGCACGCCCCGCUCCCGCGGCUCCACCCACACCUUUACCCCACAGCCCACACUCACUGAUGGAGUAGACCUUGGGCUUCCAGCGGGGAUAGCGGCACAGCAAACUGAUGAAGAUGAAGGAUAAAAGGCAAAGCCCAAGGAAGAUGACCAGGGGCAGCAGCACUGCGGUACCUGCAGACAAAGUAGAAGACGCUCAGGGUUUAAGUGAAGAUAGUGGGCACAACUUCAAACACUCCUGAUUUUUCUUGCAUCUGAGCGAAGAGACAAUACUGGUGAGUAGAAAGGCUGCCGGAGGGAGCUCUUUGCCCCUGCGAUUGCUUUUGCUAUUUCUUAGUACCGUGGGACUUAACCUGCCUUGGGAACUGACGCGGAAGAAUGGAAGAUGAGCUCCUCAUACAACCAUUUCGUUUUCCAAGUUAAAGGAGUGCUAGGGUAUGCAUGUAGCCUCAACACUUGGGCGGUAAUGGCAAGAAGGACAGUUCAAGGUCACUCUUGGCUACAUAGCAAGGUCAGGGUCAGCCUGGGCAACAGGAGACCCCGUCGAGAACGAGAAUCGAGAGAGGAAAGCGGAGGGUGGGGAGAGAACGGGCAAUAGGCUAUGUUGAUAAGUUUAGAGUAGUCAUAGUCCCGCAUGGCAGCUCACAACCAUCUGGAACUCCAGUUCCAGUGGAUCUGAUGCCCUCUUCUGGCCUCUGAGGGUACCAGGCAUGUACAUGGUGCACAGACCUACAUGCUGGCAAGACGCUCAUAGACAUAAAAUGAAAAUAAAUAUUUUUACAAAGUAUUUUUAAAUGCCAAGCAUGGUGGCACAUUCCAGCACUCAGGAGGCUGAGGCAGGCAGAUCUCUGUGAGUUCAAGGCCAGCCUGGUCUACAUAGUGAGUCCCAGGACAGGCAGAGCUGCACAGUGAAAUCCUGAAUCAAAAACAAAACAAAACAAAAGAACUUUGUAAAUGAUAAAAUAAAAUGGUUGAUAGGG